rnacentral:SRP_RNA from 1 species
GCCGGGCAUGGUGGCGCAUGCCUUUAAUCCUAGCACUUGGGAGGCAGAGGCAGGCAGAUUUGUGAGUUCGAGGCCAGACUGGUCUACAGAGUGAGUUCCAGGACAGCCAGGGCUACACAGAGAAACCCUGUCUCGAAAAGCCAUAAUAAUAAUAAUAAUAAUAAUAAUAAUAAAUUUUUUUUUUUUAGGUUUUUCGAGACAGGGUUUCUCUGUGUAGCCCUGGCUGUCCUGGAACUCACUCUGUAGACCAGGCUGUCCUCGAACUCAGAAAUCUGCCUG